GACGAACGCUGGCGGCGUGCUUAACACAUGCAAGUCGAGCGGAAAGGCCACUUCGGUGGUACUCGAGCGGCGAACGGGUGAGUAACACGUGAGUAAUCUGCCCUUGGCUUUGGGAUAGCCACCGGAAACGGUGAUUAAUACCGGAUACGACCACUUCUCGCAUGGGAUGGUGGUGGAAAGUUUUUCGGCCAGGGAUGUGCUCGCGGCCUAUCAGCUUGAUGGUGAGGUAAUGGCUCACCAUGGCUUCGACGGGUAGCCGGCCUGAGAGGGUGACCGGUCACACUGGGACUGAGACACGGCCCAGACUCCUACGGGAGGCAGCAGUGGGGAAUAUUGGACAAUGGGCGGAAGCCUGAUGCAGCGACGCCGUGUGAGGGAUGACGGCCUUCGGGUUGUAAACCUCUUUCAGCAGGGAAGAAGCGCAAGUGACGGUACCUGCAGAAGAAGCACCGGCUAACUACGUGCCAGCAGCCGCCGUAAUAC
rnacentral:rRNA from 1 species